GCGUGGGGGAUGAAGGCCUUCGGGUCGUAAACCCCUUUUCUGAGGGAAGAACAGCCUGAGGAGGAAAUGCCUCGGGUUUGACGGUACCUCAGGAAUAAGCAACGGCCAACUCCGUGCCAGCAGCCGCGGUAAUACGGAGGUUGCGAGCGUUGUUCGGAAUUACUGGGCGUAAAGGGAGCGCAGGCGGUUGGGUUAGUCUGAAGUGGAAGCCCGGGGCUCAACCCCGGAAGUGCUUUGGAUACUGCCUGACUUGAGUACGUGAGAGGAAAGCGGAAUUCCAGGUGUAGCGGUGAAAUGCGU
rnacentral:rRNA from 1 species